rnacentral:rRNA from 1 species
GUUGAACGCUGGCGGCAUGCCUAACACAUGCAAGUCGAGCGGAUGAAGGGAGCUUUCUCCUGGAUUCAGCGGCGGACGGGUGAGUGAUUCCUAGGAAUCUGCCUUGUAUUUGAGGAUAACGUCCGUACACGGGCGCUAAUACCGCAUACGUCCUGAUGUAGAAAGGGGGGGAUCUUCGGACCUCACGCUAUCAGAUGAGCCUAGGUCGGAUUAGCUAGUUGGUUGGGUAAAGGCUUACCAAGGCGACGAUCCGUAACUGCUCUGAGAGGAUGAUCAGUCACACUGGAACUGAGACACGGUCCAGACUCCUACGGGAGGCAGCAGUGGGGAAUAUUGGACAAUGGGCGAAAGCCUGAUGCAGCAAUGCCGCGUGUGUGAAGAAGGUCUUCGGAUUGUAAAGCACUUUUAGUUGGGAGGAAGGGCAGUAAGUUAAUACCUUGCUGUUUUGACGUUACCAACAGAAUAAGCACCGGCUAACUUCGUG